AUUGAACGCUGGCGGCAUGCCUUACACAUGCAAGUCGAACGGUAACAGGUCUUCGGAUGCUGACGAGUGGCGAACGGGUGAGUAAUACAUCGGAACGUGCCCGAUCGUGGGGGAUAACGGAGCGAAAGCUUUGCUAAUACCGCAUACGAUCUACGGAUGAAAGCAGGGGACCGCAAGGCCUUGCGCGGACGGAGCGGCCGAUGGCAGAUUAGGUAGUUGGUGGGAUAAAAGCUUACCAAGCCGACGAUCUGUAGCUGGUCUGAGAGGACGACCAGCCACACUGGGACUGAGACACGGCCCAGACUCCUACGAGAGGCAGCAGUGGGGAAUUUUGGACAAUGGGCGAAAGCCUGAUCCAGCCAUGCCGCGUGCAGGAUGAAGGCCUUCGGGUUGUAAACUGCUUUUGUACGGAACGAAAAGACUCUUUCUAAUAAAGAGGGUCCAUGACGGUACCGGAAGAAUAAGCACCGGCUAACUACGUG
rnacentral:rRNA from 1 species